GACGAACGCUGGCGGCGUGCUUAACACAUGCAAGUCGAACGGAAAGGCCCUGCUUUUGUGGGGUGCUCGAGUGGCGAACGGGUGAGUAACACGUGAGUAACCUGCCCUUGACCUUGGGAUAACUUCAGGAAACUGGGGCUAAUACCGGAUAGGAGCUCCUGCUGCAUGGUGGGGGUUGGAAAGUUUCGGCGGUUGGGGAUGGACUCGCGGCUUAUCAGCUUGUUGGUGGGGUAGUGGCUUACCAAGGCUUUGACGGGUAGCCGGCCUGAGAGGGUGACCGGCCACAUUGGGACUGAGAUACGGCCCAGACUCCUACGGGAGGCAGCAGUGGGGAAUAUUGCACAAUGGGCGGAAGCCUGAUGCAGCAACGCCGCGUGCGGGAUGACGGCCUUCGGGUUGUAAACCGCUUUCGCCUGUGACGAAGCGUGAGUGGCGGUAAUGGGUAAAGAAGCACCGGCUAACUACGUG
rnacentral:rRNA from 1 species